GGUUCCAAGACCCCGUCCAGAUAACAAAAUCUGAGCAUGCUCGAGUCUCUCACUUACAGUGACCUAGUGUUGCCUAUAGCCUGUGCGCACCGUCCUGUAUGUGCUAAUCCUCUGCAAACAGUAGUUUUACUGUAUCGUUUAGGGAAUAAUGAGAAGAAAAGGUCUGAGUCUGUUUGCUUUCAUCCUGAUUAUUUUGUAUUUGCAGAUGGCUAAGUCUGCGGGUGCCGAAGCUGCAGAUCCAGAGGGCUGAUAAUAGAGAUGGAAGAGGAGAGUCUAAGCUUCUGGCAGAGACUCCACCUUGGCACUCCAGACAGUCACUGGCUGACAGACACUUGGACUUAGAAUGCAUUGGGGGAGGCAUAAAGGGCAUCAAGGAUGGCUGGUGACAACGGAUGUGGAAAGGACUGAGAAUCAAAUGUACACACCCACCAAACUCAGCCGGCACGGAUCUCUCAUUUUCCCCCCGAGCUGGAUCUUCUCAACGCCCGUGACCACUCCAGCACCUCCAGGAUCAGAGAGGAAGGCUCAAGCUGGUGAGAUGGCUUUGUGGGUAAAGCUGCCUGCCCUAAGCCGGAAGACCAGGACCAACGUAGUGGAAGGAGAGUCGCCUCCCACGUGCUUGCUAAGGUGUGGGCACAUGGCCAUACAUGCAUGUUCAAACGCAGAUAAAUAUCGUUACAGCUAUCUCUAAAAAUGAGGAGUCUCCAUCGCAUCUGAGGUUAAACAAGAAAGCAGGUGAUGGGGUUUAAUAGUCAUGCAAAUGUCAGAUACCUCUUGAAUUUGAGAAAAACCCACAAGUCCAGCUUAACGCGGCAGUGGAUCAAUAAGUAUGCAUUGUUGAGCACCUAAUGUAUACCAAGUGAGCAAUCAAGGUGGAAAAAAACUGAUGUAAGACAGUCUGGAUGCAAAGGCCACUUGUGCCACCCAUGAGGGCCACGGUAGGCAUAGUACCUUAUGUAUAAAGAGAUAGAAUAGUGCCUGACCACACAGGGCGGGUGUGAGAACGCAGUGCAGCCAUUUAUGUGAAGAUCCCACCUUGGUUCCAUUUCUGUGGCUGUAACAAAAAUACAAUAAAAAGAAGCUUGUGGGAGAAAGGGGCUUCUUAUCUGCUGGCAUUUCCAGAUUACAGUCCACCAUGGAGGGAAAGUCAAGGCAGGAACUUCGAACAGCCAGUCAUAUCACCGUCGAGGGCAGAGAGAAACAAAUGCAGAUGGGCUCCCUCGUGGCUUGCUUCUGCUCAGCUCCAUGUUUCCACUCUUGACAGUUCAGGACCCCCCUGCCUAGGGAAUGGUGCUGCCCACAGUGGACAGGGUCUUCCUAUAUCAGUUAAGACAAUCUCCCCUGGACAUGCCCGGAGGCCAACCCAACGUGAUCAUCCCUCAUUGAGACUCUUACCAGUGAUUCUCAGUUGUUUCAAAUUGACAAUUAAAACUAAGUAUAACAGCCCCAGCGGAGGUGGUAGCACACGCCUUUAAUCCCAGCACUCAGGAGGCAGA